rnacentral:rRNA from 1 species
GACGAACCGUCCAACCGUUAUUCGGAAUUACUGGGCUUAAAGGGUGCGUAGGCGGCGCGGAAAGUUGGGUGUGAAAUCCCUCGGCUCAACCGAGGAACUGCGCUCAAUACUACCGUGCUCGAGGGAGAUAGAGGUGAGCGGAACUUAGGGUGGAGCGGUGAAAUGCGUUGAUAUCCUAAGGAACACCGGUGGCGAAAGCGGCUCACUGGAUCUCUUCUGACGCUGAGGCACGAAAGCUAGGGUAGCGGACGGG